rnacentral:rRNA from 1 species
AGUGAACGCUGGCGGUAGGCCUAACACAUGCAAGUCGAACGGCAGCACAGUAAGAGCUUGCUCUUACGGGUGGCGAGUGGCGGACGGGUGAGGAAUACAUCGGAAUCUACUUUUUCGCGGGGGAUAACGUAGGGAAACUUACGCUAAUACCGCAUACGACCUACGGGUGAAAGCAGGGGAUCUUCGGACCUUGCGCGAUUGAAUGAGCCGAUGUCGGAUUAGCUAGUUGGCGGGGUAAAGGCCCACCAAGGCGACGAUCCGUAGCUGGUCUGAGAGGAUGAUCAGCCACACUGGAACUGAGACACGGUCCAGACUCCUACGGGAGGCAGCAGUGGGGAAUAUUGGACAAUGGGCGAAAGCCUGAUCCAGCCAUACCGCGUGGGUGAAGAAGGCCUUCGGGUUGUAAAGCCCUUUUGUUGGGAAAGAAAAGCAGCAGGUUAAUACCCCGCUGUUCUGACGGUACCCAAAGAAUAAGCACCGGCUAACUUCGUG